UGAAAUAGCUAAAACUGUGAAAUUUAAAAGACUUUUAAAAAUCUCAUGACCAUGAAAUUUACCAAAAUGGAUGGGUGAAUUUAGUAGGGCCCUACCCAGGAGACUAAACAGGGGGUACUUCACAUUACAGAUACGCAAAUGUGGAUCCUCAGUUGCACUGUUUAUAUCACGGCCGCUUCUUUCUGGCAGAUCCAUUUGAGCUCCGCGGCACACGUCUCAGACAGAACCUGGCUGCCUUUUAUCCACCCGCAGCUGUUCCCAGCAGCAGAGCCUGAGAAGCUGCAGAGUGAGAGAGAGUCCGUGUCACUGUGGGUCCCUGUAACAAGGAAAGGCCCAGGGGUGAGUCUUUCCUCCCCCUCCCCCUAAUGGGAAGCUGGGCUCUGGUGUUGUCCUUCAUCUCUAACUUCCCUGCAGAGCGUCAGUCGAGAAGACGUCCCAGGCUGUGAGAGCCUCAGCUCUUUGGAACCUCUGCAAACGCUUUAGCCACGUGUUUAACUCCAUCCGUAGGAGUAGCCUUGGAUGGCAGUGGGAGGGCUCAGAGCCAGCGUCCUGGAACCAUCUCAUG